UACGUAGGGACCGAGCGUUGUCCGGAAUCAUUGGGCGUAAAGAGCGUGUAGGCGGCCACUUAAGUCCUGCGUGAAAUCUUGCGGCUCAACCGCAAGCGGUCGUGGGAAACUGGUGGCUAGAGUGCGGGAGAGGAGAGUGGAAUUCCUGGUGUAGCGGUGGAAUGCGCAGAUAUCAGGAAGAACACCGUGGCGAAGGCGGCUCUCUGGAACGCAACUGACGCUGAGACGCGAAAGCGUGGGGAGCAAACAGG
rnacentral:rRNA from 1 species